GGAAUGUGGCUCAGUUGGUAGAGUGCUUGCUUAGCAUGCACAAAGCCCUGGGUUAAAUCCCCAAAUCCUG
rnacentral:tRNA from 1 species